UACGUAGGGGGCAAGCGUUGUCCGGAUUUAUUGGGCGUAAAGAGCGUGCAGGCGGCCAGGGAGGUCCGUUGUGAAAACUCGAGGCUCAACCUCGAGACGCCGAUGGAAACCCCCUGGCUAGAGUCCGGAAGAGGAGAAUGGAAUUCCUGGUGUAGCGGUGAAAUGCGCAGAUAUCAGGAAGAACACCCGUGGCUAAGGCGGUUCUCUGGGCCUUACCUGACACUGAGGAGCGAAAGCGUGGGGAGCGAACAGG
rnacentral:rRNA from 1 species